rnacentral:rRNA from 1 species
UACGGGGGGUGCAAGCGUUGUUCGGAAUCAUUGGGCGUAAAGAGCGUGUAGGCGGCUGAGCAAGUCAGAUGUGAAAUCCCUGGGCUUAACCCAGGACGUGCAUUUGAAACUGCUUAGCUUGAGUAAGGAAGAGGGAAGUGGAAUUCCUGGUGUAGAGGUGAAAUUCGUAGAUAUCAGGAGGAACACCGGUGGCGAAGGCGACUUCCUGGUCCUAUACUGACGCUGAGACGCGAGAGCGUGGGGAGCAAAC